rnacentral:siRNA from 1 species
GGAAUCAGGGUAGCUAGAGGAUGC